ACCAAAGCAUCCUGCUCUAUUUUCUACAUCUUCCCCACACCAACAUAUAGUCUUAGCAACAACUUGGGAAUUCCAACCUAUGAGACCAUGAAACUCCACUCCAAAUAGAGCAAGUCAUCACUAUUUGUAGAAGUGUACAUUUAGCUAUAUUAUUGGCACUGUUACAUCUCCAAAUUUUGCUAUGCCCCUGCACUUGGAUUGGUCAUGGCAGCACCAAACCUCGAGAUGCUAGGUCUGAAAUUCCAAACUCCAAAACUACUUUUGUGAAGAUCUUAGCCUAGCCGUUGCACCCCUACUCCUUUUGUUAGCAUUAAAUUUGCAACCCUGUUUACCUCAGUCCAUCUUGCAAAAAAAUAGUCCAACCUCUUCUAGACCAAGUGAGAUCGUCACAUACAAAAUCACUACACAAGCUACCUAUGCCAAAAACUAAUUCUAACCCAACUAACAAAGACAUCAAAACAUUGUAAGAAGCAUCAUAAUCAAACCAUUCACGAAAAACCUUGCAUAUAUAUAACCAAACAGUUUGAGAUAAACCUUGACACUUCAAAGUUUUUAACUGAAUGUCUAAUUCCAACCUGAUACUAACUCUAGCAGUAUAUAUAAGUGCACCAAAAUCGAUUUUUUGGCCUUCAUAUAGUGAGUUGGGAAAGCCUGCUUUGAGGUUGGGGAAGGUUCUUUGUUACCAAAUCGCCUCUGCAACUGCUCCAUAUGUACUCCUUCUGCUUCAAGAUUGCAUAACUACUACCAUACUCCUGCUUCAACAGAGAAGAAUGUUGAAAGGCAUGUUGCAAUUGUAACUACUGCUGCAAAUUCUUGCAGGCAACUGCGUCUCGGAGUCAUUCUGCAACAUAUCUUCAGCUUCUCUGCAAUCACAUCCUUAUAUAUUUGCACUACUACUCUUCUCCUCGGUUCAACAUCCAAGUUCCCCUAUUCUGAUUUGCAUAACCAAGCACCCAAAUAACAAAAGAACUUGCAUUGUAAAAUCCUUACUAGGAGCAUUACUUCUCAUUAGAACAACAAAGACUUCCAUUAACCUGUUAAAACCUUCAAAACAGCAGAGAAAUACAUAGACGUACUAGAAAAUUUCAACUCUUAACGAAAUGAAAAUGCUAUGGAGGACAAAAUUCAACAGUAUAGCACAUAACAGAUAAUCUAUAUGACUUGAUAGAAACGACAUUACGCUAUAAAAGACUUAAGAAGAGCAGAAACAUACUUACGCUUUCAUAUAAUUUAUUUAGUAGCCAUAUUGAUGCCAAAGAUAAGGCAUUGGAUCCAGUAUGAGAAAGAGAAGUUGACAUUUUUUACCUUAUGUUUCAUCCAUGUCCAAGACUGAACCCAUGUAAGGGAUAAGAUUUCGUCUGCAUUAAACUUUGUUUGCUUGAAAGCUGACCUAUUUUUGUGUAUUCAAAUGAUUGAAACACACAUGCUUUUCCAUAGCAUAUUACCCUGCUUGUUGAAGCUAAGACAAUGGAAUUGGUAAAAAAUUAUUAGGCAGAGAGAUAUGAUUCACUGAACUUACCUCAAGCCAUUUAUUGCACAUACUACAAACUACAUUUGAUAUAUUACAAGAUAUAAGUAUAUCUGAUGAUGUCUCCUCCUCCCUACCACAGAGAACACAUAAAGAAUCCCUCAACAGAACUCCCUUUUAAAUAGAUUUUGCUUUGUUACAAUUUUAUUCAAAACUGACCUCCAUACAAAAAAUUGUACGGAAGGCAUGGCCUUU
rnacentral:lncRNA from 1 species